rnacentral:rRNA from 1 species
GCCUCUAAGCAUCAGGUAACAUCAAAUCGUACCCCAAACCGACACAGGUGGUCAGGUAGAGAAUACUAAGGCGCUUGAGAGAACUCGGGUGAAGGAACUAGGCAAAAUGGUGCCGUAACUUCGGGAGAAGGCACGCUGAUAUGUAGGUGAAGCGACUUGCUCGUGGAGCUGAAAUCAGUCGAAGAUACCAGCUGGCUGCAACUGUUUAUUAAAAACACAGCACUGUGCAAACACGAAAGUGGACGUAUACGGUGUGACGCCUGCCCGGUGCCGGAAGGUUAAUUGAUGGGGUCAGCGCAAGCGAAGCUCUUGAUCGAAGCCCCGGUAAACGGCGGCCGUAACUAUAACGGUCCUAAGGUAGCGAAAUUCCUUGUCGGGUAAGUUCCGACCUGCACGAAUGGCGUAAUGAUGGCCAGGCUGUCUCCACCCGAGACUCAGUGAAAUUGAACUCGCUGUGAAGAUGCAGUGUACCCGCGGCAAGACGGAAAGACCCCGUGAACCUUUACUAUAGCUUGACACUGAACAUUGAGCCUUGAUGUGUAGGAUAGGUGGGAGGCUUUGAAGUGUGGACGCCAGUCUGCAUGGAGCCGACCUUGAAAUACCACCCUUUAAUGAUUUGAGUUCUAACGUUGACCCGUAAUCCGGGUUGCGGACAGUGUCUGGUGGGUAGUUUGACUGGGGCGGUCUCCUCCAAAAGAGUAACGGAGGAGCACGAAGGUUGGCUAAUCCUGGUCGGACAUCAGGAGGUUAGUGCAAUGGCAUAAGCCAGCUUGACUGCGAGCGUGACGGCGCGAGCAGGUGCGAAAGCAGGUCAUAGUGAUCCGGUGGUUCUGAAUGGAAGGGCCAUCGCUCAAAGGAUAAAAGGUACUCCGGGGAUAACAGGCUGAUCCCUCCCAAGAGCUCACAUCGACGGAGGGGUUUGGCACCUCGAUGUCGGCUCAUCACAUCCUGGGGCUGAAGUAGGUCCCAAGGGUAUGGCUGUUCGCCAUUUAAAGUGGUACGCGAGCUGGGUUUAGAACGUCGUGAGACAGUUCGGUCCCUAUCUGCCGUGGGCGCUGGAGAACUGAGGGGGGCUGCUCCUAGUACGAGAGGACCGGAGUGGACGCAUCACUGGUGUUCGGGUUGUCAUGCCAAUGGCACUGCCCGGUAGCUAAAUGCGGAAGAGAUAAGUGCUGAAAGCAUCUAAGCACGAAACUUGCCCCGAGAUGAGUUCUCCCUGACUCCUUGAGAGUCCUGAAGGAACGUUGAAGACGACGACGUUGAUAGGCCGGGUGUGUAAGCGCAGCGAUGCGUUGAGCUAACCGGUACUAAUGAACCGUGAGGCUUAACC